AUUUAGCCCCGAUGGAGGCGGUAUCCUUGCUGGCCCGACGUCGGGCAAGUAAGAUAAAGCCGAGAGCGGGAACUAUG
rnacentral:sRNA from 1 species